AGGAACACUUAUUCCUUGCUCCCUUGUUUAGCUGCUGAGCGCUGAUGCAGGAGGCAGGCGCCGCCUGGGGCUGCACACACCUGACGGUGUGCUCCUGGUCAGCUCCGCCUGAGCCUGCAAGGACUCGUCCAGCUGCUGUCAGUGUCAGUGCCGGGGAUUAGCGUGCCCUCCUGGGGGAGUCCAGCUGACCGCAGCGCUGGAAGAAUCGGAAUCUCCAGACUGUCCUUGUUAGUUUCUUCUAAUGGUUCAGCAGCAGUUUGAUAUGAAUCCAGCAGAGAACUUAUCUGAGCAAUCUUGGAGGAAGGUACUAGCAUUACUUGCACUCUUCAGAUAGGAACACUGAUACAGAGAGGUUCUAAGUCUUCAACAUGGCGGACAAAAUGAGCUUCCUCCUCUGCUCCUAGCCCUGUCGGUACUGCUGCCCGCCUGAGGCAAGUUCCUUCUCAUUUCUGGACCACACAGCUGCUUCCUUGGAUGGAAUCACAGACUUGUCCCUUCCCCAGGUCUACUGUACUUGAGGUCUCUCAGGCUGGGCAUGAGAACAGCUCCUUACUACUCCUUUGCUGAGUGAGGUGAUGCAUGAACCAAGGCCCCCCGAGAGACCCCACACCAGGACCCUCUUCCAGGAUCUCCAGCAACAAACAAGCCACUUCCCCAGGAUGGAUGGUGAGUGCUUCUUAUCAACACUGCAAGCCACUCGGCCUGGCUCCCGGAGGGCUGUUGAAUGAGGCAAGAGCCCAUCUCUCUCCACCUCCUUGCAAAGCUUUGCUCCUUGAUCUCCUCUACCUCCUGGUCCCAACCAGCCCUUAGGAAGUCACUGCUGGUCACAUCUCACAGAAUCACAGGCUCACAGAAGUACAGAACUCAACUGAAGAAGCAUUAGGUGUGUAUGAUAUGCCAGGCCCUGUGGUAGGGCAGGGGAUACAGUGUAAACAAAAUAAAAAAGACCCACAUUCUCAUGGAAUUUACAUUCCUUUGGACAAAAUCACCAUAAAUCAGUAUGGUCUAGUCUCCUCUGCUGGAAGAAAAAAGAAAAGGGAUUGAGGUCCAACUGUGGGUUUAAUGCUGUGCUAGGAGCUUUAUAUUUCUCAUUUAAUUUUUCCCCCCAACCACCUGGAAAGAUGAGAUUAUGACUCCCAUUCUACAGGAGAAGAAAUGGAGGCCCAGAUAAGCUUAGUAAGAUGCCCAAGGUCACAGAGCUAGUAGGUGAGAAAUCCUGAUCUGUCUUCACAGCAGGUGAAGUGCAUCUAUCAGGAAGCCUCCCCCCUUCUCUAGCUCAUAUAAUCAGUCUCCCUUCAUUUGUAACUGCGAUGUUUAAUAACUUUGUGAACCUGAGCGAGGGAUGCAGUUUUCUCAUCUGUAAACUGGGGUUGACAGCACCUAUCUCCCCAGAUUUUCGGGAAGAUUAGAGGUGACCAGGCCUAUAGACCCUUUGUCCAGAGGGUGAUACUGAUAAGUACUCAAUACAUGUGAGCCAUCCUGAGUAGUAGUGGUGGUAUUUUAAUAUUUGAUUUGAUAUGAACAAUCACACAUAAGGAGAAAAUGAAAAAUUAUAGGUGGCAAAUAACCUUCAUAAAAGAAUAAAAGUGUACUAAGUCAGAGAGACUUACUAUGAGCACACUAAGUCAGACCUACAGAAGAAAAAAAUGGUUGCUGUAUUAUGAAUAUCAUAGGUGUUCAGCAAGCUACUGCCUUCCGACUCUUCUUAUCAUAACCAUAGGAUAUGGCCAGGAGGAAUUCUGAAUUGUUAGGUGUGCGGUCUGAUCCCUCGUCCUAUGCUGGCCAUGAUGACCUCAGUGAGUACUGCCCAGAAUGGCUAUGGGUGACAGUGCCAGGGACGGAUUUCUCAACCUACAGGGCUCGGCUCAGAUACAGUAAGUGCCAUGGGCUCCUUGUUUAAGUACUGGCGAUCGAGAGCCAGUCUUGGU